UACAGAGGGGGCAAGCGUUGUUCGGAAUUACUGGGCGUAAAGGGCUCGUAGGCGGCCAACUAAGUCGGAUGUGAAAUCCCCAGGCUUAACCUGGGAACUGCAUCCGAUACUGGAUGGCUUGAAUUCGGGAGAGGGAUGCAGAAUUCCAGGUGUAGCGGUGAAAUGCGUAGAUAUCUGGAGGAAUACCGGUGGCGAAGGCGGCAUCCUGGACCGACAUUGACGCUGAGGAGCGAAAGCUAGGGGAGCAAACGGG
rnacentral:rRNA from 1 species